AUUUUUUUCUUGCAUGGAAUAAAUGUUGGCUUUUGCUUUUUGCUGGGAAGAUUCUGAAAAAUCGCUGUAGACAGAGAGACAGUUUUCAAGGAUUGGUCUUGCAGCUUUGCUUGUAUGUACGUUUGUCGUUUAAAAAUGAUCGUGGAUUUUCGUUCUUUCUUUUUGUUUUUUUUUAUACGAUGCUGUUAUGUUAUCAGUUCGUAAACUUCCUUAUGUUAAAAAGAAG